UCUGAGUCAGGGUCCCUGCAGCGCCUGCCGGCAGAUUCCCGGGACCUUCCCCUUCCGGUUUUCCUGGGCUCCUACAGGACCCCACCUGGACCCAACUUACUCCCUUUGCAUGAGAAUGGGGAACAAAGGGCCAACAACCCAGGUCAAAGGGAAAAGAGCAUCUGUGCCCGCUCCGCCUUGCCCGCCCAUCCUCCCUCCUUUCUUCCCCGCCUCCACUCCUCGCCCCCUUCUCUUCCGCCCAGAGAGAAGGCGGGGGCGGGCUGUGUGUGUAUGUAUGUAUGCAUGUACGCGUGUGUGCGCGCUCGGGUGCGGUACGUCUGUGUGUUCAGUGUGUGGACGGGAGUAUAUGGGGUGUGUAUGCGGUGCAUGUUUUAGCCCAAGUGUUUGGUGUGGUAUGCAUUUGGUUCGAGCUCUGGCAUGAAGCAUGUGCUUGUGCAUGCACGCUUGUAGGUUGUAUGUUUCUGCCUGAUUAUAAUCAGUGUGACUGAGGGUGCGGUCUGGGUGUGGGUGUGUUCAAUGUGUGUUUCAGGGUUUGUGAUCAUGCUGUGGUGAGUGUGUACUAGCUUAAGCUUGUGUGCAUAUGUAUAUUGGAUGUGUGCUUAGCCUUAAAUGCUGUGUGUCAAGGUGGAUUUACAGGUGGGUUUUUUUUGUGCAGUGUGUACAUCGGUGAGCAAGGUAUCUCUUUACGUCUAUUUAAGGUGUGUAUGUGUGUUCAAAGGUUUGUGUAUGUGAGGAUUCUGUGUGCCUUUUAAUUGAUAGGUUCAGGUGUGUGGUGUGGAUGCAUGUGGCCAGCAUAUGUGCUUGCAUGGAGGGCUGAAGAUGUGUGCCUUGGAGGGGGUCACACGAAUGUAUGGGUGCAGCGUCUGAAAGCAUGGAGUUGUCCAAAAGAACCCAAGUGAUCCUGCAUGUGGUUGGGGGGGGGGCUGGGUGUUGGGGACAUUGCACCUGACUGGGACCAAGAAGGAGGUAGGGGCUGCGACCCCAGCAGGGGUGACAGCUGGCCUGAUCUCAUCAAUGGAAGUCUGCCUGCCCUUACCUUCGCUGUGCCCCGCAAUUUGCAAGUUCGGAUAGGGCGGGGUGUGAACUUACCUGGCUGCUUAAAGAAAAGAAGAGGAGUGCUCCGCAGGAGAUUUGGCCAGCCUUAUUCAUGUCCUUUGAACCAGUGACUGGCUGACCCAACUGGGCUUUCUUGGCUGGAACCUCAACAAUCCCUCCCUUCACUAAGGCUUCCUGUGCUCCUGGCUAACUCAGGCAAUUAAGGAGGUGGCUGUUACUUUCCCACCCAACUAUGUACCCAAACCUUGGUUCUGGUUCUCAAUCAUCUGAAGCUAUGGUCUUGAUCUCAGGGUUUGUGAAAAAGUUUGUACAAUACCUUCUCUGAUUCAAGAAGAUAAAAAAAUCUUUCACCAUAA